GCCCGGAUGGUCCAGAGGUUAAGAUUCUCGCUUUGGGAGCCCCAAUUCUUGAAUGCGAGAGAUCCCGCGUUCGAGUCGCGGUUCGGGCC
rnacentral:tRNA from 1 species